CAAGUCGAACGGAAAGGCCCUUCGGGGUACUCGAGUGGCGAACGGGUGAGUAACACGUGGGUGAUCUGCCCUGCACUUUGGGAUAAGCCUGGGAAACUGGGUCUAAUACCGAAUAUGAUCAUUGGCUUCAUGGCUGGUGGUGGAAAGCUUUUGCGGUGUGGGAUGGGCCCGCGGCCUAUCAGCUUGUUGGUGGGGUAAUGGCCUACCAAGGCGACGACGGGUAGCCGGCCUGAGAGGGUGACCGGCCACACUGGGACUGAGAUACGGCCCAGACUCCUACGGGAGGCAGCAGUGGGGAAUAUUGCACAAUGGGCGCAAGCCUGAUGCAGCGACGCCGCGUGAGGGAUGACGGCCUUCGGGUUGUAAACCUCUUUCAAUAGGGACGAAGCGCAAGUGACGGUACCUAUAGAAGAAGGACCGGCCAACUACGUGCCAGCAGCCGCGGUAAUACGUAGGGUCCGAGCGUUGUCCGGAAUUACUGGGCGUAAAGAGCUCGUAGGUGGUUUGUCGCGUUGUUCGUGAAAACUCACAGCUUAACUGUGGGCGUGCGGGCGAUACGGGCAGACUAGAGUACUGCAGGGGAGACUGGAAUUCCUGGUGUAGCGGUGGAAUGCGCAGAUAUCAGGAGGAACACCGGUGGCGAAGGCGGGUCUCUGGGCAGUAACUGACGCUGAGGAGCGAAAGCGUGGGGAGCGAACAGGAUUAGAUACCCUGGUAGUCCACGCCGUAAACGGUGGGUACUAGGUGUGGGUUUCCUUCCUUGGGAUCCGUGCCGUAGCUAACGCAUUAAGUACCCCGCCUGGGGAGUACGGCCGCAAGGCUAAAACUCAAAGGAAUUGACGGGGGCCCGCACAAGCGGCGGAGCAUGUGGAUUAAUUUCGAUGCAACGCGAAAAACCUUACCUGGGUUUGACAUGCACAGGACGCCAGUAGAGAUAUUGGUUCCCUUGUGGCCUGUGUGCAGGUGGUGCAUGGCUGUCGUCAGCUCGUGUCGUGAGAUGUUGGGUUAAGUCCCGCAACGACCACAACCCCUUGUCCUAUGUGGCCA
rnacentral:rRNA from 1 species